rnacentral:rRNA from 1 species
AUUGAACGCUGGCGGCAGGCCUAACACAUGCAAGUCGAGCGGAUGAAGGGAGCUUGCGUCUGGAUUCAGAGGCGGACGGGUGAGUAAUACCUAGGAAUCUGCCUGGUAGUGGGUGAUAACGUCCGGAAACGGGCGCUACUACCGCAUACGUCGUGCGGGGGAUGGUGGGGGAUCUUCGGACAUCACGCUCUCAGAUGAGCGUAGGCCGGAUUAGCUAGUUGGUGGGUUAAAGGCCUACUAAGCCGGCGAUUCGUUACUGGUCUGAUAGGAUGAUCAGUCACACUGGAGCUGAGACACGGUCCUUGCUACUACGAGAGGCAGCAGAGGCGUAUGUUGGGCAGUAGGCGAGAGUCUUGUACAGUCAUGCCGAGUGUGUUGAAGAAAUCUUCGGAUUGUAAAGCACUUUUAGUGGUUAGAAAGGGCAUUCAGUUAUUACCUUGCUGUUUUGACGUUACCAGCAGAAUAAGCACCGGCUAACUUCGUG